rnacentral:rRNA from 1 species
AAUGAACGUUGGCGGCGUGGAUUAGGCAUGCAAGUCGAACGAGAACCCCGCAAGGGGUGAAAGUGGCAAACGGCGUAGUAAGGCGUAGGUGACGUACCUCCCGAUUCAGGAUAGCUACGGGAAACUGUAGGUAAUACUGGAUAACCCCUCCGAGAUUGAAAAUCGGAGUGCAAAGGUGUGAUUCCGUCAGGAGAGCGGCUUACGUGGUAUUAGCUAGUUGGUGAGGUAAUGGCUCACCAAGGCUUCGAUGCCUAGGGGGUGUUAGCGCAUGACCCCCACGACUGGGACUGAGAUACUGCCCAGACACCUACGGGUGGCUGCAGUCGAGAAUCUUCGGCAAUGGGCGCAAGCCUGACCGAGCGACGCCGCGUGUGGGAUGAAGGCCCUUGGGUUGUAAACCACUGUCAGAGGGGAUGAAAUGCGGGUGGGUUCUCCCAUCCGUUUGACAUAGCCUCAGAGGAAGCACGGGCUAAGUUCGUG